GUAGGUGGCAAGCGUUGUCCGGAAUUAUUGGGCGUAAAGCGCGCGCAGGCGGUUCUUUAAGUCUGAUGUGAAAGCCCACGGGCUCAACCGUGGAGGGUCAUUGGAAACUGGAGAACUUGAGUACAGAAGAGGAAAGCGGAAUUCCACGUGUAGCGGUGAAAUGCGUAGAGAUGUGGAGGAACACCAGUGGCGAAGGCGGCUUUCUGGUCUGUAACUGACGCUGAGGCGCGAAAGCGUGGGGAGCAAACAGGAUUAGAUACCCUGGUAGUCCACGCCGUAAACGAUGAGUGCUAAGUGUUAGGGGGGUUUCCGCCCCUUAGUGCUGCAGCUAAUGCAUUAAGCACUCCGCCUGGGGAGUACGGCCGCAAGGCUG
rnacentral:rRNA from 1 species